rnacentral:rRNA from 1 species
AUGAGCCAUACAAUGAAGCUAUGGGAGAGAGUCAUUGAGCACCGCUUAAGAAGAAUGACAAGCGUGACCAAAAAUCAGUUUGGUUUCAUGCCUGGGAGGUCGACCAUGGAAGCCAUUUUCUUGGUACGACAACUUAUGGAGAGAUAUAGGGAGCAUAAGAAGGACUUGCAUAUGGUGUUCAUUGACUUGGAGAAGGCCUAUGAUAAGAUACCGCGGAAUGUCAUGUGGUGGGCCUUGGAGAAACACAAAGUCCCAGCAAAGUACAUUACCCUCAUCAAGGACAUGUACAAUAAUGUUGUGACAAGUGUUCGAACAAGUGAUGUCGACACCGAUGACUUCCCGAUUAAGAUAGGACUGCAUCAGGGGUCAGCUUUGAGCCCUUAUCUUUUUGCAUUGGUGAUGGAUGAGGUCACAAGGGGAUAUCCCAUGGUGUAUGCUCUUUGCGGAUGA